rnacentral:miRNA from 1 species
UUUCUAGUUGUAGGACUUCCAUUCA